rnacentral:lncRNA from 1 species
AGGAAAUGACAGGAAGUAGGGAGCGCGCUUCGUGAGUGGCCCUGUCGGCGCCACAGCUCCUCCCACCGCUGACAACGGCACAGUCCUUCCGUCGCAGGUGAGAGUGUGGUGCCCAACCGGGUUUUGCUUUUUCAUUUUUAUUUAAAAUAUUAAUCGUUUUAUGAAAUUACCAAAUGCAUGGUAUAGAACAGAGUGUAGUAAACCAUCUAACAAAAUCAGCUGGUCGUGUACAGGUGGAAACUAGCCCGUGUCUUUGGUGACCUAGAGAUCGGGUGACAGCGAGAGAGUUCAUUUACAUUAGCGAUGGUUUGAUUUAUCAGCAGGAAUGCACCUCUUGCAGUUAUCAUCCGUUAGCAGAUAAUUCACUGGAGGAUCUCAAGCAGAUCGUCUGAAACGAAGCCACGUUUACGACCUGUUCCACGCUCCCACCGCGCUUUGUGUACAGUAGCACUCGGUUUUCAGUGCGUUUCAGCUCGAGUCCUCUGGGUUGUGCUUCCCUGCUGGUUCUGCGCGUCCCCUGGCAGACUCUGCCCGUGUCUUUGUCCCCUCGUCGUCCUCUCUGAUCAAGACUUCAGGACCCCCUCGGUCUCUCGCUCAGCGAUGUCAGUGGGCCGGCUCGCCGUGAGGGGCUCUGUGCUCCUGCUGUGUGACAUGCAGGAGAAGUUCAGACCCAACAUUGUUCACUUCAGCAACAUCGUGAGCAACGCCGCCCGUCUGCUGCAGGUACUGUUCACAUCUAUAUCCACCUGUCUC